CAGACUCCGAGGUGGAUGGAACGAUGAAAGCGUUGGAUGAGGGAUAAUACGAGCGAAGAGAAUCAAGUCCUGCUUGGUAUUCACCUGUCUCUGCGGAUCAAUAAAGCCAACCAAUUAACGGACAACGCCGAUACCUGGAGUCCAGGAAGAUGAGCUUCAUGUCCAGACUGGCCCGGAACAUGAACAUGUUGCUGUGCAGCUUGAUCUCGGUCACGGCGCUGGGCGGCAGCGAGUGACCCACGGCCACCAGGCCCACGUUCUGGUAGCAGCCCUCGAACGGUGACAUGUCCAGGCUGUACUGACGGAUCUUCAGGUAGCCGCUGCAGUGGAUGACCUGUGAUGAAGCACAGAAAAAAUAAAUAAAUAAAAUGCCUGCUCAUAAA